rnacentral:lncRNA from 1 species
AUGAAUGAAUAGAAGGAUGCUUGAGUGAAGAAGUGUAGGAGUGAAUGAAGUUCACCUGGUCCUGGGGUUGCGGGGCAGGAAGCUUCUCCAGAGGGCCAGGGGGGCACAAUCCAACCUUGAGGCAGGGGCCUGGCCAAGAUGACCUUGGGAGAGGUUGAGGAGUGUAACUUGGGGGGAUAGGCCAGGGUCACUUUCCCCGCCCAUCCUUUAUGUAGGCAGCCCCGUGUCAUAGACCCCCUCUGUGUCCCCUGCUGCAGCAAAGUCUGAGAAGGUAGUUGCUGGGAGCUGUUGGCCUGGAUGGGCCCUCUACGCCCUGCUCGUGCCCCUCGGCCCCGGGGCCUGGGCUCCCGCUAUCCCAGCCAGGGCCUGGGCAGGCGGCGAUUUCGUCUCCGUCGCCUCCGACUGAGAACAACACCCCAGAGAAUGUUCAAGCCCAGCCGGCCGAGGUACCGGACCCAGUGUGGGAACGCUGCCAAUUUACUAACUUCCAGCUCCGAAAUUUUGCAAGAAAUUGAGGUCCAGAGAAGGGAAGGGACUGGUACAAGGUCAUAUAGCAACCUUUAGACAACUGUAUCAUCUGGGGAAACCACUCUUCUUCUGAGGAAAGACCCUUGUUUCCUGCGUGACUUGGCCACACAGAAACCCAGCCUUGGAGCAGCCAUUGAAUAUAUCUACUUCAGCCCUGUUGGUCUCAGCUUCCUUAUUUCCUUUGGGGGUGAUUCGGGGAACACAGAACUGAACUGCAGGCUGUC